UUUGGUCCCAGGACAGGUAGGGGGCCUCUCCCUGGGGAAUGCACAGGGUCUCACUGUAUUGCCCAGGCUGGAGUGCAAUGGCACAAUCACAGAGGCACAACCUUCCCGUCCGAAGCGAUCCUCCUGCCUCAGCCUCCGAGUAGCUGGGACCACAGUUCUUGCUCCCAACACUGACUGGCCGUAUCCUCUGUUCCUGAAACCUGUAUCCUCAAGUACGAAGGUGAAGAAAAUGGAGCUCACUACCCUGAAAGCACCCCUUGCUGUUUGAUCAUUUAAAAGCAUGAAUCCCAGAUUUCAACAAUCUUAAAGACACACUGAGUUACGAAUCUUUAACAGAAAUGUUCAAAAUGACAAAAUAAAAAACAGAUGACACAGAAACCCAGAAAUUGCAAUUUUCAGAUCCUAACUCCAA